rnacentral:rRNA from 1 species
AACGAACGCUGGCGGCACGCUUAACACAUGCAAGUCGAACGAAGCGAUACACUUCGGUGUAUUGACUGAGUGGCGGACGGGUGAGUAAUGCAUAGGAAUCUGCCUCAUAGUCUGGGAUAACCGCUGGAAACAGUGACUAAUACCGGAUGCACCCUUCUGGGUAAAGAUUUAUCGCUAUGAGAUGAGCCUAUGUCGGAUUAGGUAGUUGGUAGGGUAAAGGCCUACCAAGCCGAUGAUCCGUAGCUGGUUUGAGAGGAUGAUCAGCCACACUGGGACUGAGACACGGCCCAGACUCCUACGGGAGGCAGCAGUGGGGAAUCUUGGACAAUGGGGGCAACCCUGAUCCAGCGAUGCCGCGUGAGUGAUGAAGGCCUUAGGGUUGUAAAGCUCUUUUACCCGUGAAGAUAAUGACGGUAGCGGGAGAAAAAGCUCCGGCUAACUCCG